rnacentral:pre_miRNA from 1 species
UUAGUACUCCCUCCGUCCGGAAAUACUCGUCGGAGAAAUGCAUAAAAAUAAAUGUAUCUAAAACUAAAAUACGUCUAGAUACAUCCAUUCCUCUGACAAGUAUUUCCGGACGGAGGGAGUAAUAA